rnacentral:lncRNA from 1 species
AAAAUAAAAUAAUGGAUAUAUUUGUAUCAUUUAUCAAAGUUGAGAGAUAUAUUUAUAUAUUUUCUUUUUUAAAUAUAUAAAUAAAAUAACCCAAAAAUUGAUAUGAUAUAAGUUUUUAAAAAUAACCCGGAGAGAGGGAGAGUGACUGCCAGCUUAAAGGGAAGACGGACAAUUAGUUAAGACAGUAACCGAUAAGGGAAGGAAAUUUGGAGGAUUCAAAAUAUGAUAAUUACUUCCUAAAUUAUAGGAUUUGAUUUUUUGCUAUAAAUAUAAUUGCUAUUUUUAGGGGAAAAAAAUUUAAGAGGGGGAAGGGGUUCAUUCGAAUUCCUUUAGUUCGAAAAUAAUACUAUAUAUACAAGUUAAGUUUUUGUCUCAAACUUAUCGAAUUAGAGGCGAAGCUAGAAUUUUAAAUGUACAAAUGUACAGAUUCUAGAUUUUAGAAAAAGAGAGUUACAUCUGCACAUAUUAAGUGGAUUUUGUUGGGACUGUGUGUAACUUGACUCAAACUCCGCACUAGUAUGAUAUUGUCCGCUUUGGGUUAAGCUCUUACGGAUUUAUUUUUUUCCAGAAGGUUUCAUACUAGUAGAGUUGGGUGACACUUUAAAUAUUGGAUAUGUUCCCUCUAUUUUGUACCACCGUUAUCACCCAACGGGACACGCCGCGUAACCACCACUCGACCGGAAGACUUUCAACACAAAGUGGAUCUUGUUGGGACUAUGUGUAACUUGACUCUUACUCCACACUAGUAUGAUAUUGUCCGCCUUGGGUCAAGCCCUUAUGGAUUUAUUUUUGGACACCUCCCAGAAGGCCUCAUACUAGUAGAGUUGGGUGACACUUUAAAUAUUGGAUAUGUUCUCUCUAUUUUGUACCACCGUUAUCACCCAACGGGACACGCCGCCUAACCACCACUCGCCAGAAAGACUUUCGACACAAGGCACCACUUGCAGAUCUCCAGUCUUGUUGUCACACUGGGAACUUCUCAUCAAACGCAGUCCACUACUUCGACACACCCGAAUCUGAGCUUUGAUACCACUUGUUGGGACUGUGUGUAACUUCACCCAAACUCUAUACUAGUAUGAUAUUGUUCGCUUUGGACCAAACCCUCACGGAUUUGUUUUUGAGCACCUCCCAAAAGGUUCAUACCAGUGGAGUUGGGUGACACUUUAAAUAUUAGACAUGUUCCCUCUAUUUUUUCGAUGUAGGAUUGCUUUGCUUCCCAACAGUACUUUACCGAACUAGUAAUAUUUAAAGUCCUAUUGAUAUUUUUUAAGAGCCAGAACAACAUAGCAUACAAGCACGUCUUGAUAAAAAUUAUGUUUCCACUACUAAUUAUAAUAAUUGAAUUAUUAAGAAGGUAGAAUUUUGAAUUUAUGGAUUCUAGAUUUUAGAAAAAGAGAGUUGAAUCUGUACAUAUUAAGUGGGUCUUUUAACACGGCUUUUGCACCAAAAUUACUAAUUUUGUCGAACCAGUAAUUUAAAUGCCUAUUAAUAUUUUUUAAGAAUUCGAACAACAUAGCAUAUAAGUACAUCAUGAUAAAAAUUUUGUCUCCACUAUUAAUUACAAUAAUUGAAUUACUAAGAAGCUAGAAUUUUUAGUUUAUAAGUUUUACAUUUUAGAUAGAGAAAGUUAUUGGGCUGUUGAUAAAUUAUUUAUACAUAUUACAUUAAUUUUUUUUAACAGUGUAUCUAUAUCAAAGCUAUUGAGUUCGGCCAAACUAAUAAACGAAAUGAUAGCUCUACCCCGCGUCCAUUCUUCAAAAAUUAGGAAAUUCUCAAAAAAAUUAAAAAAAAAUAAAAAAUUUAAGGAUUUAAUAUGCACCUGUCGACAUUUUUCUAAAGUCUGAACAACAUAUACAAGUAUGUCUUGUUAAAAAUUCUGUCUCCGCACAAAUUAUAAUAAUUGAAUGACUUAAAGAGGAAUUGAAAGAAAUGUAGAAUAUACCUCUCUAAUUUCUGAGAAGCUAACUGCAUAAAAUGUAACAGCAGCUGCUGCUAUAAUUCCAAGUAUUGGAAGUCCUACUUGUUGAAUUCCAUCCAUUUUUCUUGUGUGUGUGUUUUCUUUUUUAGUUUUUGUGCUUGGAUUUGAUAUUUUGAUUUCUAAUUUCUCUUUUUAAUUGUUUUUUGGGAUGACAUUGGAUAAGAUAUCUUGUAUGUGGAUAAAUUGAGAUAAGGAUGUGUAGUGGCCCAAACUCAAAUUGUUAUCCUAGAGAGUCCUUCCUGCUACAUUUCUUCUGUUUUAAAGGCUUAAAU